rnacentral:ncRNA from 1 species
AUAUACGUUUUUGAGCCAAAAUCGUGUAAUAAGAGGUAUCUGUUAUUAGUUUUAUAGGUCCCGAUUUUUCGGGAAUAAAUCUGGCUAUUUGCUGGAAACACUCAGUAUCUGAAAGUACUUUUUAAGUAACAAUUUUUCAGUGGAGCCAAUCAGCAGGAAAGACUCUGAUUUAAUUAUCAGAGAAUCCUCACAGACUAUACGCCAGAGUAUGCUUUGCAUACAAGAUAUAGUCGGACCCCUUUGGCGACAAAGGG